UCUCUAUUAUCAUCAUACGCUCUAAUCAUCCUUACGCAGUCUGCUUCUGAAACUUGUGCGAUGCACAGUGUACUAAGGACUCUUCUCAACUCCUUUGCAUCGAUGAAACCGUCGUUAUUUUUAUCGAACAUAGAGAAAGCUUCUCUGACUUCCUGAAGGCAUGGCUCCUGCUCUUCAAACAGAGCAGUAAUGUCAUUUGAGUUCAUCCUAUCUUGUAGCUUGUCGCCUUCAGGGUCAUAGCAAGUUCCCAGCUGCCCCAUCACCAUUGCCACCUCUCCUAUACUUAGUUCUUCUAAAUUCUUGCGAUGAAAGCAGUUGGUCUGUGGUUUCUCCGUCAGCACAUCCACUGCUUGUGGCUCCAGCUUCUGAUUUAAAUUUCUGUCAAUGCAAAGCUUCUUGGUAGCAACUUGUAUUCUAGAGGACUUGCUCUCGACCCAAACCCUCCAGAAGUACAAAAACACCUUGGGGACUUGGCAAAAAGUUGAGUACAAGUCUUUAAGAAUAAUGAUAAAGAUGCAGUUGAGAAUUGUGAGCAGCAAGAAAACAGGAUUGGGUGAUGAUACAUUAUCUUUAGUGUACUCCAUAAUGAAUGGUACUCAAUCGGAGAAGAAAGUAACGCUGAAAGACUUUGGGGAUAGAUGAGUCUGU
rnacentral:misc_RNA from 1 species